rnacentral:rRNA from 1 species
AUGGCGCGCUGCUGGUGGAGCAGUUCUCUUGAUCGUCGAUCUUUGCAUUGGGUUGAUUGGGAUACCCUUGCAACACCAAAAGAGAAGGGAGGGAUGGGAUUCAGAAAUAUGCAACUCUUCAACUUGGCCCUUAUCGGAAAACACGGAUGGAGACUCGUCACGAGCCCAGACUCACUCUGUGCACGGGUGCUCAAAGGGAAAUACUUCCCGACCACCAGCUUCAUGGAGGCCACCGCGCAUCCGCAUGCUUCAUCUACGUGGCGCGCGAUUUUGGCCGGG